rnacentral:rRNA from 1 species
UACGGGGGGGGCAAGCGUUGUUCGGAAUUACUGGGCGUAAAGAGCUCGUAGGCGGCCAACUAAGUCAGACGUGAAAUCCCUCGGCUUAACCGGGGAACUGCGUCUGAUACUGGAUGGCUUGAGUUUGGGAGAGGGAUGCGGAAUUCCAGGUGUAGCGGUGAAAUGCGUAGAUAUCUGGAGGAACACCGGUGGCGAAGGCGGCAUCCUGGACCAACACUGACGCUGAGGAGCGAAAGCCAGGGGAGCAAACGGG